rnacentral:rRNA from 1 species
CACCUACGGGAGGCAGCAGUGGGGAAUAUUGGACAAUGGGCGAAAGCCUGAUCCAGCAAUGCCGCGUGAGUGAUGAAGGCCUUAGGGUUGUAAAGCUCUUUUACCCGGGAUGAUAAUGACAGUACCGGGAGAAUAAGCUCCGGCUAACUCCGUGCCAGCAGCCGCGGUAAUGCGGAGGGAGCUAGCGUUGUUCGGAAUUACUGGGCGUAAAGCGCACGUAGGCGGCUUUGUAAGUUAGAGGUGAAAGCCUGGAGCUCAACUCCAGAAUUGCCUUUAAGACUGCAUCGCUUGAAUCCGGGAGAGGUGAGUGGAAUUCCGAGUGUAGAGGUGAAAUUCGUAGAUAUUCGGAAGAACACCAGUGGCGAAGGCGGCUCACUGGACCGGUAUUGACGCUGAGGUGCGAAAGCGUGGGGAGCAAACAGGAUUAGAUACCCCGGUAGUC